rnacentral:tRNA from 1 species
GGCGACGUAGCUCAGUGGGAGAGCGGUAGUCUUACACACUACUGGUCAAUGGUUCAAAUCCGUUCGUCGUCA